rnacentral:rRNA from 1 species
GGGCCCGCACAAGCGGUGGAGCAUGUGGUUUAAUUCGAUGCAACGCGAAGAACCUUACCUACUCUUGACAUCCAGAGAACUUUCCAGAGAUAGAUUGGUGCCUUCGGGAACGCAGUGACAGGUGCUGCAUGGCUGUCGUCAGCUCGUGUCGUGAGAUGUUGGGUUAAGUCCCGUAACGAGCGCAACCCUUAUCCUUAGUUGCCAGCACGUUUGGGUGGGCACUCUAAGGAAACUGCCGGUGCUAAGCCGGAGGAAGGCGGGGAUGACGUCAAGUCCUCAUGGCCCUUACACGCGGGGCUACACACGUGCUACAAUGGCUAAGACAAAGAGUCGCAAGCUUGCGAAAGUUAGCUAAUCUCGUAAACUUAGCCUAAGUUCAGAUUGUAGGCUGCAACUCGCCUGCAUGAAGU